rfam:Schistosoma mattheei strain Denwood, Zambia genome assembly, scaffold: SMTD_scaffold0021642
GCACUGCUUAGGAGUCCCACAAUAGGACGAAACGGCCGUUCAGUGC